rnacentral:rRNA from 1 species
UGGGGAAUUUUGGACAAUGGGCGCAAGCCUGAUCCAGCAAUGCCGCGUGAGUGAAGAAGGCCUUCGGGUUGUAAAGCUCUUUUGUCAGGGAAGAAACGGCUGUGGCUAAUAUCCACGGCUAAUGACGGUACCUGAAGAAUAAGCACCGGCUAACUACGUGCCAGCAGCCGCGGUAAUACGUAGGGUGCAAGCGUUAAUCGGAAUUACUGGGCGUAAAGCGUGCGCAGGCGGUUUUGUAAGUCUGUCGUGAAAUCCCCGGGCUCAACCUGGGAAUUGCGAUGGAGACUGCAAGGCUAGAAUCUGGCAGAGGGGGGUAGAAUUCCACGUGUAGCAGUGAAAUGCGUAGAGAUGUGGAGGAACACCGAUGGCGAAGGCAGCCCCCUGGGUCAAGAUUGACGCUCAUGCACGAAAGCGUGGGGAGCAAACAGGAUUAGAUACCCUGGUAGUCCACGCCCUAAACGAUGUCUACUAGUUGUCGGGUUUUAAUUAACUCGGUAACGCAGCUAACGCGUGAAGUAGACCGCCUG